UUGGAAAUUCUCUCUCUCAGCUCAGUUCUCGCGCCGUGUCGGUCGAGUCGUCGUCGGCUCAGAUCCCCGCCGUUGACUCCGGCGUCAGGAAGAAGACUCAGGCGCCGUUAGGGUUGAGAAAUCGGAGGGGCUGUUACAAGCGAAGAAGGACUUCAGAUUCAUGAACAGUGGAGUCUUCCACUUCAGAAGAUGAGUUUGCCUGGAGAAAAUAUGGACAAAAGCUUAUCUUCAAUUCCCAUUAUCCCAGAUGCUAUUACAAAAGCACUUACAAGAAUGGAGGGUGCAAAGGCACAGAGCAAGUUCAAAUGAUCAAAAAGAAGCCUAAUACACUUUACCAAAUGACAUACAUCAAUCAUCACUCUUGCUCCUCAUCAUCAUCAUCAUCAUCAAAUCCAAUUAGGGCUUUUUACAAAAACCCCAAUUUCAGUUUGUAUGAUGAUGAUGUUCUUGUGAACCCAAGCAACAUUAAUAAUCUCAUCAUCACUUUCGAGGCCAAAAAUGGCGGCGACAGCCAUAUCAUCACCUCCGGAAACCAUCGUCCGGCGGUGAAAUCAGAAGAACAAACCGAUGAGCGAUCACUUGCUGGUUUACAGUCUUGCGGGUCGAUAAAUAAUUUGCCGUAUAGUGAAGAUAUUUGCGAUCCGUUUGGCGAUGAGGAGAUAGAUAGCUUCUUUUGCUUUGGCGACGACAAGAUUGAUGAAUACUAAGUGUUCCAUUGUCACCUUGCUGUAAUAAGCUAUGAGCUGUAUAAGUGUGUGUUCUAAUAUAAAUAACUGAAAUUAAAAAAAAAAAAAAAAACAGUGUAUUCUAAGAUAUAAUAAUGUCAAUUUUUGAUUUAUUACUGAAA